rnacentral:rRNA from 1 species
AUUGAACGCUGGCGGAAUGCUUUACACAUGCAAGUCGAGCGGCAGCGCGGGGGCAACCCUGGCGGCGAGCGGCGAACGGGUGAGUAACAUAUCGGAACGUACCCUGUCGUGGGGGAUAACACAGCGAAAGCUGUGCUAAUACCGCAUACGACCUGAGGGUGAAAGCGGGGGAUCGCAAGACCUCGCGCGAUAGGAGCGGCCGAUAUCGGAUUAGCUUGUUGGUGAGGUAAAGGCUCACCAAGGCGACGAUCCGUAGCUGGUCUGAGAGGACGACCAGCCACACUGGAACUGAGACACGGUCCAGACUCCUACGGGUGGCUG